GAUGCCUUACACAUGCAAGUCGAACGGUCAGCACGGACUUCGGUCUGGUGGCGAGUGGCGAACGGGUGAGUAAUGUAUCGGAACGUGCCCAGUAGCGGGGGAUAACUACGCGAAAGCGUGGCUAAUACCGCAUACGCCCUACGGGGGAAAGCAGGGGAUCGCAAGACCUUGCACUAUUGGAGCGGCCGAUAUCGGAUUAGCUAGUUGGUGGGGUAACGGCUCACCAAGGCGACGAUCCGUAGCUGGUUUGAGAGGACGACCAGCCACACUGGGACUGAGACACGGCCCAGACUCCUACGGGAGGCAGCAGUGGGGAAUUUUGGACAAUGGGGGAAACCCUGAUCCAGCCAUCCCGCGUGUGCGAUGAAGGCCUUCGGGUUGUAAAGCACUUUUGGCAGGAAAGAAACGUCAUGGGCUAAUACCCCGUGAAACUGACGGUACCUGCAGAAUAAGCACCGGCUAACUACGUGCCAAGCAGCCGCGGUAAAUACGUAGGGUGCAAGCGUUAAUCGGAAUUACUGGGCGUAAAGCGUGCGCAGGCGGUUCGGAAAGAAAGAUGUGA
rnacentral:rRNA from 1 species